rnacentral:rRNA from 1 species
UACGAAAGGUGCAAGCGUUACUCGGAAUCACUGGGCGUAAAGCGCACGUAGGCGGACUCGUAGGUCAGUUGUGAAAUACCUGGGCUCAACCCGGGAACUGCAGCUGAAACCGCUUGUCUUGAAUACCUGAGAGGGUGGGGGAAUACCUGGUGGAGAAGCGAAAUUCGUAGAGAUCAGGUGGAACACCGGAGGCGAAGGCGCCUGCCUGGCAGUGUAUUGACGCUGAGGUGCGAAAGUGCGGGGAGCAAACAGG